ensembl:snRNA U6 U6 spliceosomal RNA
GUGUUUGCUUCGGCAGCACAAAUACUAAAACUGGAAUGAUACAGAGAUUAACAUGGUCCUGCACAAGGAUGACACAUGUAUCCGUGAAACGUAUAUUU